CGAGCCACCCAAAGGUGCCAAUUGCUAAUUUCGCAAUUAAUUUUGAAAUUAAUUCAUAUAUUCGCUCAUUUUCCUUCUCUAGUAACGAUUACGCUGUCCCUCUCUUUCGCACCCACGGCCCCGGGGUAUAUACAAUCGUACAUACCUAUCUAUAUGUAUACAUACAACUAAAUAUGUAUGUCCGUAUGUAAGUCGCCCUAUGCAUGUGUGCGUGUGUGUGUGGCUGUGCGAUUUGGUCUAUAUGCAAGUACAAAAUUUGAAAGUAACCCGCUUCUGGCGCAUUUUCCAUCCCCGUCCCCUGACCCCUGCCCACCUCCUCCCCCGUGAUCGACAAUUUGGUAGAGGUCGAAGGGCAUCCGGAGCAAGGAGCAAGCCACCUAACCAAUCGCCAUCAUCAUUAAAGACCCCGAACUCAAACCCAAACCCCAACUAUAGCCGCACUUUUUGUUAUACAUACACGUGACCCUUUUCGAUAUCGAGUAAAUUAGCCAAUUCAUAUUUUCCAGUGCAAAUUCACAAAGUUAAGCGGAAAUUACUGUGGCAGUUGGGUCUUAAUAUCUUAAAAGUUAAGACAAUUAGAUCGAAAGUAAAGAUACAAGAUACUAAUUUAAGAGAUUGAUCGCAGUCCCCAAACGUAUUUAAAAGGACUACACUACUUUUCUUCUAAUCAGGUAAUUAAAUUAGGUAUCAGUUUAGAUAAUCCUGUUGUCCGAGGACUUUCUUUAGCAAAUUUCGGACUUCGAUCAACAUUUAAGAUCAAUCUGUAUUGGGAUUGAAUAUUAAAUGAAAUGGAAAAAUGCAACAUUUGCUAAAUAAAAUAAAAGAAAAUAAUUAUGUUUUUUUCACCACAAAUAUUAGGAUCUGAGUCACAAAUACUUUUCCAAGUUGUAUGAUUCACGUAAAGUACAUUACGUGUUAAUAAUAAAUAUAAUUAGUAUGUUAAUUAUUUACUUAAAACGUGUAACACUUAUUUGAAAACAUAAAUUGACAAUAAAUUUGGAAGUGCUUUAGGAAAAAAUCAUAUGUUGUAGGUAUCUAAGGAUCUAAGGGAUCUUUUAAGAAUUCUAUAAUUAUUUUUACGAUCGACGUUUCAAAAUCAUGAUCUAAUCUCAAUGAUUCAUUUCUAAAUAACAAUAAAUAAGCAAUACAUGCAUAUGUUUAAUGCAAAAACUCAUAUAUAUACUAUAUAAUUUAGCUUUAACUUGAGUAAUGUAUUCAGUUUGGUUCUUUAGUGAAAAAUCUACAAUCUAUAACGACCGCGUCAUUUCGAGUUGGGUUCUGAUACAUACAUAUGGAAACCCCAUUAUUAAAGUCAUAAAAUUCACAUGGCAACAAAGAAAUUCAAAGCGUAGUUAACAAUCGCUUACAGUUUUUGACCUGAAUUUCUCACCUUAAUCAUUCGCUGCAGGUUAACUUGGUUGGUGCAACUUAUAGCCAGAUAACUAAGGUCUGAUCUUCAAUCCUCGGGCGUCUCGUCCUCCUCGUCCUCGUUGAAGGACAGCUUGCUACUGGCGGCCUUGGACUUCUUGCUCUUGGAUGUGCUGGAUUUUUCGGACUUCCUGUUGGUUUCAGAUUGGGACUCUUUUUUCUCGAUGCUGGGCUGCUUGACACGCUGUUUGAAGACUAUUGGCUGCGUCAGAUCCGCUCGCUUUUCGGCUAAUUCUGGAAGAUUGAAAAUGAGAGUAAGUUAUGCUCAGAAAUCAUCUUAUAGGGAGCAAUGAAGUUAUGUAAACUAUCUAUGAAUGCAUAUUUUGUGGAAAGUAGUAUGCAUAGAAUCUAUAUCCGUUGAAACAAUUUUUAUCUAAAUUGAUAUUAAAAUAAAUGUGUAUAUGGUUUGGUUUUAAAAACCGCAUUAGCUAAUAGGAA